UACAGAGACCUCAAGCGUUAUCCGGAAUCAUUGGGCGUAAAGCGUACCGAUAGGUGGUUUAGAAAGUCAGAUGUGAAAUUCCAAGGCUCAACCUUGGGACUGUCAUUUGAAACUUCUAAACUAGAGGGGCAAAGAGGAAGCUGGAACGAACGGUGUAGUAGUGAAAUGCGUUGAUAUCGUUCGGAACACCAAUAGCGAAGGCAGGCUUCUGGGUGCCACCUGACACUGCUAGGACGAAAGCGUGGGGAGCGAAGUGGG
rnacentral:rRNA from 1 species